GGACUACAAGGGUUUCUAAUCCCGUUUGCUCCCCUGGCUUUCGCGUCUCAGCGUCAGUAAGAGCCCAGGACCUCGCUUUCGCCACGGGCGUUCCUUCCGAUCUCAACGCAUUUCACCGCUCCACCGGAAGUUCCAGGUCCCCCUACUCCCCUCCAGACCGGUCGUAUCGGUGCCAAUUCCCCGGUUGAGCCGGGGGAUUUCAACAUCCGACGUGCCGAUCCGCCUACACGCGCUUUAAGCCCAGUGAUUCCGAAUAACGUUUGCACGGUUCGUCUUACCGCGGCUGCUGGCAC
rnacentral:rRNA from 1 species